rnacentral:lncRNA from 1 species
UUUGAGUUGUGUUGCCUGCGAGCUAGAGAGAGAGAGAGAGAGAGAGAGAGAAGAGAGCUCGAGCGUGAGGGGCGAGGGCGCGCGCGAGAGAGAGAGAGAGAGAGGAUAGCGCGAGAGCAAGAGAGAGGCGAGGGAGCGAGAGAGAGGCGAGGGAGUGAGAGAGCGAGAGAGAGGCGAGGGAGCGAGAGAGAGCGAGAAACAAAGAGCUGUGCGGGCUAGGUUAUUUUCGCAAAAAAAUAAAAUGGGGGUGACAUUACCAGCUACUGUGCUAGUAGGUUAAUAUCAGCCCUUGGAUCAUACAGUUGUAGGAUAUACAACUCAUAUAGAGUUGUACCACCAACACUACUAUUAUUUUAGGUCAAUUUGCAUGAAAAUUCCACUAGUUUUGAAAUUU